CCUUUUCUUUUCAUUUUUUUCUCACUUAGUCAAGGCCUACAUCCCAUUCUUAGUCAUCUGAAUUCAUCUGAAUGGAUGAUAAUCUUGCUGAAGUUCUUGGUUGAACAAUGCAAUAGUCUAUCAUAAGAAUAAACAAAUCAUGGAAGAAGCUGCAUGAUGCUUUCUAUUUAAAUCCAGACAAAUAGAUGACUAAGGAAAAUUCCAUAAAAUAGGAUUUAGGAGUCGUUGACUCAUUGCUUUGUCCUUUCCUGUCAAGAUUAUUAAA